ACGCUCGACACCUACGGGAGCAGCAGUGGGGGAUAUUGCACAAUGGGGGAAACCCUGAUGCAGCAACGCCGCGUGAAGGAAGAAGGUCUUCGGAUUGUAAACUUCUGUCCUCAGGGAAGAUAAUGACGGUACCUGAGGAGGAAGCUCCGGCUAACUACGUGUCAGCAGCCGCGGUAAUCUGAGCGGGCUGGCAAGGC
rnacentral:rRNA from 1 species